UCUUCCAACUGAGUUUUGGAUUAUCCUGAUUUUUAAGUUGAAAAGUUAAUAUGAAGCCGCGGACUUGAUGAUCGGGUUGGAUCUGACGAAGGUCCCACGUGUCUCUCCAUCUACACUGUACACUUGUGAAAUUGAUAUAUUAGAAAUAUCUUGGCUUAUGGUAGUAAGGUAAGUUAAUAUAUAUUCGCAGAGGUAAUGUUUGCUGUAAUGUGUUGUUUUUUAGUUUAUUCGGAAUCAUCCAGGCAAUUAUUAUCUUUGAGAGAUGCUCAAAUGCUCUCAUAACACUUUUAGUUCUCCUAGCUAUAUCUUAGACAGUCCUAUCCAUUGAUACAGACUAUUGAUUAUGUCCAGCACCCAUUUCAUGGGCUAUCAUGUAAAUCUAACCCCGUCCUCACAAAUAUUAACCGUUUGAUCAGUGGCCUUCAAUAUAGGCGGUCAAGAUUAUUUGCACAAAGAAUGGGUCCAAUCAACAAUUUGAUCCAUCUAUUUGUUGGGACCCAUCAUGGAUUGAAUGUGAUUCCAAAUAAUCACCUUCUUUAGGCUAUCAUAGUCAUCCCAUCAAUGGAUUGGAAAGGGGACCUCUAUAGAAAAUAAGGCCAUAUUAAGAUGAUCAACCAUGCUAUCAUUUUUGUGGUAUCUCAUGAAAUGCCUGGUCGACUUAACCGAUGGUUUAGAUUGAUAGAUCAAUCGAUCUUGGACUGUCUAAGUGAAUCAAUGCAACUAGGAGCAUUAUUAGUUAUAGUCCACUGAGAGCAUCAGUUCAUUUGUCAUUACGUUUUUUGUUAUUUACUUGAUAAAGCUGCCCAAUUGAUUUGCUUAAAAUCAAACCGUCCAAAUUAUGGGACUCACUGUAAAUGUCAUCAUCCCAACAUCACCUCUGAUUCAUGGACACUUGUUUGCUGAACUCAUUCUUGCCCACUGACCAUUUCUCAUAACAAACAUCCAAUCGAUGUCCGUUCAUCUGUUGGUAGCCAUUUUAUGUAAUCAAAUGAAGUUUACUUUCCAUCUAAAGUGUGGCCCAACAUUUUGACUGUUUUAGCUUGAUUGUCUCCCACACAUAAUGAUUAUUACCUGUGUAUCCACCGUCGCACUCUUCCAGAGCAUCAUAGGUCUUGGCCAUUUAGGUGUUGGAAACUUAUAACAUUGCUACGUUAGGGAUCCAUUACCACUUGUUUGAUCUGGUCCAUUAGUAGGCCCGUGUGCAAACCAGCUGAUUGAGUGAUGAGGAGAGGUGAAAGGUACCAGGUCUAGAAGUGGGUGGGGGUGGCGGUGGGGGUGAAGAGAUUGCAGAGGUGGAAGAGUUUUAGAAGGAGAGGAAAUGGCCAAGAGUGAGAGAAGCAAGGAGAUGGGAGAAACUGCGGUGGACUCUCCUUGGACCCUCUCCAAAUGCGAUGUUGUGGUUUACAAAAUCGAUUCAAAUAAUCUUGCAAUGCACCAGCAGGAGAAUGGUUGAAUUGUGUAGAAAAAAAUCUUGUCUUUGAAAUUAUCUCCUUGAAAUGAUGUACUAGUAAAUCAUGUAAAUUAAGCAUAACAAACACUGACAAUUGAUCGAAUGCCUUUAUUAUGUGUAAUUACGAAUCUACUUCUCAUGGAAUCCAAGAAAGUGAAGGAAAAGGUAAUAAUUUAUCAGUAUUGAUUUCAGGUGUUCUAUUCAAAGGUUGUGUUUUUAAUUUCAUUGCCCCUUUAUUUAAGCAAUGCUUCUAAAUUUGAGUUCUUAUUAAGAUAGCAAGUUGAAAUCAGAUAUUUCUUUCACAUUAAUUGACAUGUAGUCCACAGUUUCAAAACAUUAUCCAAGAAUUGAAAUCAUGGGAAGUGUAAUACUUGCUUUUGGGCUUAUUUGGAUUGGUGGAUGUGGGAUUUGAAAAUCGGUUUUCCUCUUUAUGUAAUGGUUUCUCUAUUUUCCCAAAAUAUGUAAAAAUUAAGGGAAUUGAUCCCUUCUUUCACCAAAGUUAAGAAGGUUGAGUAAAUUGGCUGUACUUUUGUAAAGAUCAUCUCAUAGCAAAGAGAUCUUGUUUGGAUGGUAAGUGUGCAUAUCAUAUUUAUUCCUCUCACUGUAGUUUCUUGUGUCAAGAAUCUGGAUUAUGGGUAGUAUGAAAGGUUGUUUGGCAGCAUGGGUUUAGUUGUAAUCGGAGGGAAUAUAGCAAAUAUUUGUAGGGAUGUAUUGGCUGUAGUUGGUGGCAUAUGAAUCUAUUUACUACU